rnacentral:rRNA from 1 species
UGGGGAAUAUUGCACAAUGGGCGCAAGCCUGAUGCAGCCAUGCCGCGUGUGUGAAGAAGGCCUUCGGUUUGUAAAGCACUUUCAGCGGGGAGGAAGGCGAUAAGGUUAAUAACCUUGUCGAUUGACGUUACCCGCAGAAGAAGCACCGGCUAACUCCGUGCCAGCAGCCGCGGUAAUACGGAGGGUGCAAGCGUUAAUCGGAAUUACUGGGCGUAAAGCGCACGCAGGCGGUCUGUCAAGUCGGAUGUGAAAUCCCCGGGCUUAACCUGGGAACUGCAUUCGAAACUGGCAGGCUAGAGUCUUGUAGAGGGGGGUAGAAUUCCAGGUGUAGCGGUGAAAUGCGUAGAGAUCUGGAGGAAUACCGGUGGCGAAGGCGGCCCCCUGGACAAAGACUGACGCUCAGGUGCGAAAGCGUGGGGAGCAAACAGG